AAAGCUUUAAGUUAAUUAAACUAAUAAUCUUCAAAAUUAUCUAUAAAGAUUUAAUUUCUUUAAGUUUUA
rnacentral:tRNA from 1 species